AGUGAACGCUGGCGGCAGGCCUAACACAUGCAAGUCGAGCGAGUGGCGGACGGGUGAGGAAUGUCUGGGAAACUGCCAGAUCGAGGGGGAUAACUACGGGAAACGGUAGCUAAAACCGCAUACGAUCGAAAGAGCCCAGAUGGGAUGAGCUAGUAGGUGGGGUAAAGGCCCACCAAGGAGACGAUCCCUAGCUGGACUGAGAGGAUGAUCAGCCGCACUGGAAGUGAGACCCGGUCCAGACGCCUAAGGGAGGCAGCAGUGGGAAAUAUUGCACAAGGGACGCAAGCCUGAUCCAGCCAUACCGCGUGUAUGAAGAAGGCCUUCGGUUUGUAAAGUACUUAUAUCGAGGAAGCGUUACCCAAAAAAAAAGCGCCGGCUAACUCCGUGCCAGCAGCCGCGGUAAUGC
rnacentral:rRNA from 1 species